ACACGUGGGUAACCUGCCUUAUAGUGGGGGAUAGCCUUUCGAAAGGAAGAUUAAUACCGCAUAAGAUUGUAGUAUCGCAUGAUAUAGCAAUUAAAGGAGCAAUUCGCUAUAAGAUGGACCCGCGUCGCAUUAGCUAGUUGGUGAGGUAAUGGCUCACCAAGGCGACGAUGCGUAGCCGACCUGAGAGGGUGACCAGCCACACUGGAACUGAGACACGGUCCAGACUCCUACGGGAGGCAGGCAUG
rnacentral:rRNA from 1 species